rnacentral:rRNA from 1 species
AUGUAUGAGCCGGAAGGCGGCCUGAAGAAUUAUCCAAGGGAAGUUAUGCUCGUUCUUGACACCAUGAGGAUGGAGUUUUCUGUUGCUGAUUUGCCACCCGGAAGAAGGUGGAGGGGGCGAAACUUUGCUAUUGUGGAGGCAGGGGAAGGCAGGCUUGGAUUGAUUGCUCACUCAUCAAAUGGGACACUAGAAUAUACUGUUAGGCAGAACACCGAGGUGAAUGAGUGGCAGAUAGAGAAGAUAAUCCCAUUGGCUUACGGUGACCAUACUAUCAUACGUGUAACUGAGAGGUACUUGCUCCUGCUAAGGUCAGAUGUGAAGAUGGACUUCAACACAUUUCAGUUUGAGAGGCUUUAUGAGAAGUCUGAAUGUUUCUCACUAGAUGUCAAGACAUUUAAGCUUGAGAGUGUGUGUGAGAAAAAUAACGUCACAUGUGGGCCCAUAUACACUAACUUCCCACCAUCACUGUCCUCAAGGACAGUAUGA